rnacentral:rRNA from 1 species
UACGUAGGGGGCAAGCGUUAUCCGGAUUUACUGGGUGUAAAGGGAGCGCAGGCGGCAUGGCAAGUCAGGAGUGAAAGCCCACGGCUCAACCGUGGGACUGCUCUUGAAACUGUCAGGCUAGAUUUCAGGAGGGGUAAGCGGAAUUCCUGGUGUAGCGGUGAAAUGCGUAGAUAUCAGGAGGAACACCGGUGGCGAAGGCGGCUUACUGGACUGACAAUGACGCUCAUGCUCGAAAGCGUGGGGAG